GAUGAACGCUGGCGGCGUGCCUAACACAUGCAAGUCGAGCGAAAGGACGCGAAGCUUGUUUCUUUGUUGUUAGCGGCGCACGGGUGUGUAACAUGUGGAUAACCUCCCUAUCUGUCUGGGAUAUCUUGGGGAAACCGUCGCUAAUACCGGAUAAUAUUCUGCACCGUAUGGUUCAAAAGUGAAUGUCGGUCUUGCUGUAUCUUAUAGCUGGAUCUGCGCUGCUUUAGCUGGUUGGUACGGUAACGGCUUACCAAGGCAACUAUGCAUAGCCGACCGGAGGGGGGGGUCGCCCACACUGGAACUGGGCCACGGUCCAGGCUCCUACGGGAGGCAGCAGAAGGCAAUGUUCCGCAGUGGGCGAAAGCAUUGCGGAGCAACGGCGCGUGAGAGAUAGAGGCCUUGGGUUCGUAAUGCUGUGUUAUGAGGGGAAAACAGAUGUGUAAUUAGCUGAAGAGAGAUUGACGGUACCUAGUCAAAAAGCACCGGCUAACUACGUG
rnacentral:rRNA from 1 species